CCUACGGGAGGCAGCAGUGAGGAAUAUUGGUCAAUGGACGAGAGUCUGAACCAGCCAAGUAGCGUGAAGGAUGACUGCCCUAUGGGUUGUAAACUUCUUUUAUAUGGGAAUAAAAUGUUCCACGUGUGGGAUUUUGUAUGUACCAUAUGAAUAAGGAUCGGCUAACUCCGUGCCAGCAGCCGCGGUAAUACGGAGGAUCCGAGCGUUAUCCGUAUUUAUUGGGUUUAAAGGGAGCGUAGGUGGAUUGUUACUUCAGUUGUGAAAGUUUGCGGCUCAACCGUAAAAUUGCAGUUGAAACUGGCAGUCUUGAGUACAGUAGAGGUGGGCGGAAUUCGUGGUGUAGCGGUGAAAUGCUUAGAUAUCACGAAGAACUCCGAUUGCGAAGGCAGUUCACUGGACUGCAACUGACACUGAGGCUCGAAAGUGUGGGUAUCAAACAGGAUUAGAUACCCCUGUAGUC
rnacentral:rRNA from 1 species